rnacentral:rRNA from 1 species
CCUACGGGUGGCAGCAGUGGGGAAUAUUGCACAAUGGGCGCAACCCUGAACCAGCGACGCCGCGUGAAGGAAGAAGUCUUUAGGUAUGUAAACUUCUAUCAGCAGGGAAGAAAAUGACGGUAUCUGUCUAAGAAGCCACGGCUAACUACGUGCCAGCAGCCGCGGUACUACGUAGGGGGCAAGCGUUAUCCGGAUUUACUGGGUGUGAAGGGAGCGUAGGCGGGGAUGCAAGUCAGAAGUGAAGGUUCGGGGCUCAACUGCGGGACUGCAGUUGAAACUGUGUUGCUUGAUUGCAGUAGAGGUAAUCGGAAUUCCUGGUGUAGCGGUGAAAUGCGUAGAUAUUAGGAAGAACACCAGUGGCGAAGGCGGCUUACUGGACUGUAAAUGACGCUGAGGCUCGAAAGCGUGGGUAGCAAACAGGAUUAGAUACCCCUGUAGUC